rnacentral:rRNA from 1 species
CCUUUUGUAUAAUGGGUCAGCGACUUAUAUUCUGUAGCAAGGUUAACCGAAUAGGGGAGCCGAAGGGAAACCGAGUCUUAACUGGGCGUUAAGUUGCAGGGUAUAGACCCGAAACCCGGUGAUCUAGCCAUGGGCAGGUUGAAGGUUGGGUAACACUAACUGGAGGACCGAACCGACUAAUGUUGAAAAAUUAGCGGAUGACUUGUGGCUGGGGGUGAAAGGCCAAUCAAACCGGGAGAUAGCUGGUUCUCCCCGAAAGCUAUUUAGGUAGCGCCUCGUGAAUUCAUCUCCGGGGGUAGAGCACUGUUUCGGCAAGGGGGUCAUCCCGACUUACCAACCCGAUGCAAACUGCGAAUACCGGAGAAUGUUAUCACGGGAGACACACGGCGGGUGCUAACGUCCGUCGUGAAGAGGGAAACAACCCAGACCGCCAGCUAAGGUCCCAAAGUCAUGGUUAAGUGGGAAACGAUGUGGGAAGGCCCAGACAGCCAGGAUGUUGGCUUAGAAGCAGCCAUCAUUUAAAGAAAGCGUAAUAGCUCACUGGUCGAGUCGGCCUGCGCGGAAGAUGUAACGGGGCUAAACCAUGCACCGAAGCUGCGGCAGCGACGCUGAUGCGUUGUUGGGUAGGGGAGCGUUCUGUAAGCCUGCGAAGGUGUGCUGUGAGGCAUGCUGGAGGUAUCAGAAGUGCGAAUGCUGACAUAAGUAACGAUAAAGCGGGUGAAAAGCCCGCUCGCCGGAAGACCAAGGGUUCCUGUCCAACGUUAAUCGGGGCAGGGUGAGUCGACCCCUAAGGCGAGGCCGAAAGGCGUAGUCGAUGGGAAACAGGUUAAUAUUCCUGUACUUGGUGUUACUGCGAAGGGGGGACGGAGAAGGCUAUGUUGGCCGGGCGACGGUUGUCCCGGUUUAAGCGUGUAGGCUGGUUUUCCAGGCAAAUCCGGAAAAUCAAGGCUGAGGCGUGAUGACGAGGCACUACGGUGCUGAAGCAACAAAUGCCCUGCUUCCAGGAAAAGCCUCUAAGCAUCAGGUAACAUCAAAUCGUACCCCAAACCGACACAGGUGGUCAGGUAGAGAAUACCAAGGCGCUUGAGAGAACUCGGGUGAAGGAACUAGGCAAAAUGGUGCCGUAACUUCGGGAGAAGGCACGCUGAUAUGUAGGUGAAGUCCCUUGCGGAUGGAGCUGAAAUCAGUCGAAGAUACCAGCUGGCUGCAACUGUUUAUUAAAAACACAGCACUGUGCAAACACGAAAGUGGACGUAUACGGUGUGACGCCUGCCCGGUGCCGGAAGGUUAAUUGAUGGGGUCAGCGCAAGCGAAGCUCUUGAUCGAAGCCCCGGUAAACGGCGGCCGUAACUAUAACGGUCCUAAGGUAGCGAAAUUCCUUGUCGGGUAAGUUCCGACCUGCACGAAUGGCGUAAUGAUGGCCAGGCUGUCUCCACCCGAGACUCAGUGAAAUUGAACUCGCUGUGAAGAUGCAGUGUACCCGCGGCAAGACGGAAAGACCCCGUGAACCUUUACUAUAGCUUGACACUGAACAUUGAGCCUUGAUGUGUAGGAUAGGUGGGAGGCUUGGAAGUGUGGACGCCAGUCUGCAUGGAGCCGACCUUGAAAUACCACCCUUUAAUGUUUGAUGUUCUAACGUUGACCCGUAAUCCGGGUUGCGGACAGUGUCUGGUGGGUAGUUUGACUGGGGCGGUCUCCUCCUAAAGAGUAACGGAGGAGCACGAAGGUUGGCUAAUCCUGGUCGGACAUCAGGAGGUUAGUGCAAUGGCAUAAGCCAGCUUGACUGCGAGCGUGACGGCGCGAGCAGGUGCGAAAGCAGGUCAUAGUGAUCCGGUGGUUCUGAAUGGAAGGGCCAUCGCUCAACGGAUAAAAGGUACUCCGGGGAUAACAGGCUGAUACCGCCCAAGAGUUCAUAUCGACGGCGGUGUUUGGCACCUCGAUGUCGGCUCAUCACAUCCUGGGGCUGAAGUAGGUCCCAAGGGUAUGGCUGUUCGCCAUUUAAAGUGGUACGCGAGCUGGGUUUAGAACGUCGUGAGACAGUUCGGUCCCUAUCUGCCGUGGGCGCUGGAGAACUGAGGGGGGCUGCUCCUAGUACGAGAGGACCGGAGUGGACGCAUCACUGGUGUUCGGGUUGUCAUGCCAAUGGCACUGCCCGGUAGCUAAAUGCGGAAGAGAUAAGUGCUGAAAGCAUCUAAGCACGAAACUUGCCCCGAGAUGAGUUCUCCCUGACCCUUUAAGGGUCCUGAAGGAACGUUGAAGACGACGACGUUGAUAGGCCGGGUGUGUAAGCGCAGCGAUGCGUUGAGCUAACCGGUACUAAUGAACCGUGAGGCUUAACCUUACAAC